UACAGAGGUCUCAAGCGUUGUUCGGAUUCAUUGGGCGUAAAGGGUGCGUAGGCGGCGCGGUAAGUCGGGUGUGAAAUCUUGGAGCUUAACUCCGAAACUGCAUUCGAUACUGCCGUGCUUGAGGACUGGAGAGGAGACUGGAAUUUACGGUGUAGCGGUGAAAUGCGUAGAUAUCGUUUGGAACGCCAAUGGUGAAAACAGGUUGCUGGGGCUGUGCUGACGCUGAGACACGAAAGCCAGGGGAGCGAACGGG
rnacentral:rRNA from 1 species